AUGGAGAUUCCUGUUUGCUAGAGAUUUUUCUGUAGGAGUUCGAGUUGAAAAUCAGAUAUGUGUCACUCUUCAGACAGUCAACUAUGAGCUAUGAGAAAGUGACAUGAUCACCUGAGAGGGCUUGUCUGAACAUUUUGUUCAUCAAUAAAUGUUAAUUAAAAUUCCGUGCAAGCGCAAGUCAAAGAAGUCACAACAUCAAUAGAAGGGGUCUGAACUUGAGAUGGAGGAAAAAAAAAAAAGAACAGAAAUGUUCAGGAACAUUCUGAUAUUAAUCCAGCUGGAGUGAUCUAGAAGAAUCACUUGCAUAUUUUUUUCAGAAAAGUUGAACAAUAAAUAUUCACAUGAAUUAUAUUUCUGUGCAAACCAGACAGCUAGGAAAUCACUUAAAUCAAUGUCAACAAUUGUUCUGUGUAAAUCUUUCUGUUUGGACAAGCUGACCAGCCUGGGGCAGAAGGAAGAAGGAACAUCCAUUAUCAUAUUUAUUCAUUAGAGUUAAUCUACCUCCCAAUAAAGGCCAGUUACAAAUGCAUGUGUCAUGAGCAAAAUAGGUUAAAGAACUGGAAGCAAAAAUAGAACAUGAUGAAACAGGUUUUGCAGUGUUUUGUUUUGCAUAUUAUUUGCAGCUCUUGCAAAAUUUACAGUAUAAGAAACGUGAAAAGAAUAAUCUAGGAUUCAGGGAUAAUCUUUUACCAUGAUGGAACUACUUCUAAGAAAGGAAUGGAAGAAAACGAAAGCAAAGCAGGCCUACUAGUGUAAAAUAAAUAAAUAAAAAUCAUUUUUUGAGCAAUGACUUAUUUGCGUUCUCCUAAUCAUAUAGCGAUAACUGAAGUCAAAUUCUAGUGUGUUAUUGGAGUUAUAUAAAUCUGAUGUAAUUACUGUAAUACUGAUGUUUGAUGACCAUUGGACUGGACUUGAGCAAAUACUAAUCCUAAAAAUAAGAAUGGCUGAUGCUGUUUUCCUUUU
ensembl:lncRNA